GAGAUUACUGGUUCUGUGGAUGAAGGGAAAGCAGUGGAUGUAUUGUUUCUUGACUUUAGCAAAGCUUUUGACACGGUCUCCCACAGUAUUCUUGUCAGCAAGUUAAGGAAGUAUGGGCUGGAUGAAUGCACUACAAGGUUCAACCUCCAGCCAACGGAUCGUGUACCAUGUCUGAAGGAAAAGGAUUGGAACUCUCCACAUAUUUGGAAGAAACAGAUGUGAUCAGGCACAAGACAAGAGUGGACAAAGAGGGAUUGGACUCUGCUGGCCAGGCCCCCAACAUUUCAUAGACAUAGUUCAAAAUCAUUGAGUUAAUUCACUGGUGUUUAUUUUGAAAGUAGAAUUUUGUGUGUCUGAACCUCAUAUAUUUUCUACAAAACAAAAGACUACUAUGGGACUGCUGGAGUGUCCAGCCUUGAUAACUCCCACCCUGGCCAGCAUGACAUUGCCACACAAGAGCAGAAUUUCACAUCUGAUCACUUGGGUACUGAUUCACACAGAGAAAUGUUUGCUGUUCCGAGAAACCUUCAGUGCAUCCAUCACUCAUAUCAAAAAUGUGUCAGUCACACAAGUGGAGGUCUCUUCAUCUGAAUCCUCAUUUAAGCGAUGGGAUUAUUCUUACAUCUCCCCUCCUGUUCCCGUAAAGAUGUUAUACAAAACCCAGCAUCCCUGAACCAGGCUGCCCUCACCUAGAAAGGUGCAGGCACAUUCUUGAAAAAGACCAAAACCAAUUAUCUGUACAUGUGCAUGUAUAUCAUUAUAUAAAAUUUUUAAAAACUA